rnacentral:rRNA from 1 species
GUGCCAGCAGCCGCGGUAAUACGUAGGUGGCAAGCGUUGUCCGGAUUUAUUGGGCGUAAAGCGCGCGCAGGCGGUCUCUUAAGUCUGAUGUGAAAGCCCACGGCUCAACCGUGGAGGGUCAUUGGAAACUGGGGGACUUGAGUGCAGAAGAGGAAAGCGGAAUUCCACGUGUAGCGGUGAAAUGCGUAGAGAUGUGGAGGAACACCAGUGGCGAAGGCGGCUUUCUGGUCUGUAACUGACGCUGAGGCGCGAAAGCGUGGGGAGCAAACAGGAUUAGAUACCCUGGUAGUCC